GCCUGGGUGGCUCACAGGAGCAAAACUUGAAUACUUCUAGAGGAAAAAAAAAAAAACACAAGCAAAAUAAACUCAGCAGGUACUUUAUUUCACCUCAACAUUCUAUAAAAUUAAUUCUUAAAGAGAGCACUACAGAGACCUAAACAGGUGAACCUGACUCAUAAAGCCAGAGUGAAGUUCCCAGGUAUCAAAGAGGACCUGGGUGUAUUUGAUCUUCCUACCGUGUUCAUGCCACACCAGCACUGUCUCCACAUCUUCAUCCUUACAAUUUCUAAUAGCCAUACCAAGGGGUGUACACACACACAAAAAGGGGGGGGGGUGUAAUUUGUUUUGACUCCAUGUAAAGUUGCCAGUAAGACUCCAGUUUAUUAAGAUUCUACCUGAUCUUUUGAUCUUUUCUUUCCUUUAUCCAUACAACAGUCUCUGUCAAGUCUGGCCCUAUUUCAUGUUUAUCUAAACAAACAUGGUUAAAACUGAUAAGAUGGGAGAGGGGGCAUUGCUCCCAAUUCACAGCAGUGACACCUUCAAGAAAUUAUCAGAUAAGAAAGAAACAUGAAUAAAAUUCAAAAGUCUACAUUCUAGGAGCAUCUGGGUGGCUCAA